rnacentral:rRNA from 1 species
AGGACGAACGCUGGCGGCGUGCCUAACACAUGCAAGUCGAACGCGCUCCAUUCGGUAGCAAUACUGAUGAAGAGCGAGUGGCGAACGGGUGAGUAGCACGUGAGCAACCUGCCCCGAAGACCGGGACAACACCGGGAAACCGGUGCUAAUACCGGAUAUCCCUAUCGGACCGCAUGAUCUGAUAAGGAAAUGGAUUCCGCUUCGGGAGGGGCUCGCGGCCUAUCAGCUAGUUGGUGAGGUAACGGCCCACCAAGGCAUCGACGGGUAGCUGGUCUGAGAGGACGAUCAGCCACACUGGGACUGAGACACGGCCCAGACUCCUACGGGAGCAGCAGUGGGGAAUCUUGCGCAAUGGGCGAAAGCCUGACGCAGCAACGCCGCGUGGAGGACGAAGGCUUUCUGAGUUGUAAACUCCUUUCAGCAGGGACGAUAGUGACGGUACCUGCAGAAGAAGCACCGGCCAACGUACGCGCCAGCAGCCG